UGCUUACCAUGCAAGUCGAACGAUGAUCUCCAGCUUGCUGGGGGGAUUAGUGGCGAACGGGUGAGUAACACGUGAGUAACCUGCCCUUAACUCUGGGAUAAGCCUGGGAAACUGGGUCUAAUACCGGAUAUGACUCCUCAUCGCAUGGUGGGGGGUGGAAAGCUUUUGUGGUUUUGGAUGGACUCGCGGCCUAUCAGCUUGUUGGUGAGGUAAUGGCUCACCAAGGCGACGACGGGUAGCCGGCCUGAGAGGGUGACCGGCCACACUGGGACUGAGACACGGCCCAGACUCCUACGGGAGGCAGCAGUGGGGAAUAUUGCACAAUGGGCGCAAGCCUGAUGCAGCGACGCCGCGUGAGGGAUGACGGCCUUCGGGUUGUAAACCUCUUUCAGUAGGGAAGAAGCGAAAGUGACGGUACCUGCAGAAGAAGCGCCGGCUAACUACGUGCCAGCAGCCGCGGUAAUACGUAGGGCGCAAGCGUUAUCCGGAAUUAUUGGGCGUAAAGAGCUCGUAGGCGGUUUGUCGCGUCUGCCGUGAAAGUCCGGGGCUCAACUCCGGAUCUGCGGUGGGUACGGGCAGACUAGAGUGAUGUAGGGGAGACUGGAAUUCCUGGUGUAGCGGUGAAAUGCGCAGAUAUCAGGAGGAACACCGAUGGCGAAGGCAGGUCUCUGGGCAUUAACUGACGCUGAGGAGCGAAAGCAUGGGGAGCGAACAGGAUUAGAUACCCUGGUAGUCCAUGCCGUAAACGUUGGGCACUAGGUGUGGGGGACAUUCCACGUUUUCCGCGCCGUAGCUAACGCAUUAAGUGCCCCGCCUGGGGAGUACGGCCGCAAGGCUAAAACUCAAAGGAAUUGAC
rnacentral:rRNA from 1 species